rnacentral:rRNA from 1 species
AACGAACGCUGGCGGCAUGCCUAACACAUGCAAGUCGAACGAGACCUUCGGGUCUAGUGGCGCACGGGUGCGUAACGCGUGGGAACCUGCCCCUAGGUUCGGAAUAACUCCCCGAAAGGGGUGCUAAUACCGGAUAAUGUCUUCGGACCAAAGAUUUAUCGCCUUUGGAUGGGCCCGCGUUGGAUUAGCUAGUUGGUAGGGUAAAAGCCUACCAAGGCGAUGAUCCAUAGCUGGUCUGAGAGGAUGAUCAGCCACACUGGGACUGAGACACGGCCCAGACUCCUACGGGAGGCAGCAGUGGGGAAUAUUGGACAAUGGGCGAAAGCCUGAUCCAGCAAUGCCGCGUGAGUGAUGAAGGCCUUAGGGUUGUAAAGCUCUUUUACCCGGGAUGAUAAUGACAGUACCGGGAGAAUAAGCUCCGGCUAACUCCGUG